rnacentral:lncRNA from 1 species
GGAGAGGGGACUUUAGCCCUUAUCUUCUCAUUACCCUUUUGGCUCUAAUUACUGCAGGUGAAAGCUUAUCCCGAGCCCGUUCCCCCACCUCCCAGAUGAUGUUAUAGGGAAUUAAAAUCUUCCUGGUGGAUGUCACAGCCCUGCAAGUGCUGCUUCAGGUGGGUGUGAGCCAUGCCCGUUUCCUACCCUCAUUUGAAGGUGGUGGGUGCUCAGCCCUCAAACCCCUCUGGGAGUGGAAGGUUUUGCUUUGCUGACCUAUGGAACAAGGUUCCUUCUUCUUCCCCUCCCUCAGCGCAGACUCCUGAAGCUAUGGAGGGGCAGGACUUGUUCAAACAUCCCUGCAUUGCAUUUGGAGAGGGCAGCAGCACUUCCUUGGUGCAUUCAGUCCCUCGCUGACCACAUGCACCUUUUGCUGUGUGCUGCUUAUCUGGGGAGCAAUUCCAACACUCCAGCUCUGGAUGCAUGAAGGGGAUGGUGCUUUAUCUUCCCUUCUUGUUCCUCAGCAAUACCUUUUUGUUGUUGUUUUCUUUUUGAUAAGGGUACGUGCUACUUAACCCUGGAAGUAAAUGGGCACAUUGUCAGCAAUGACCUUCUGGGGCUGUUGUCCUAUCCCAGCAGUCUCCAGCCACGAGGACCAAGGGAUUAUUUUCAUUAGUAAGAGGGAAGAACCAAACCUGGCCUUAUGAUUCCUUUUUUUUAGGAGGGGAUCAGACCUUACUUUCUUCUUAACGCUUCGUUAAAGUACAUGUAAGAAGGAUGGAGGAAAAAAGAAGUAGCUGAAAGUUGGUGGUCAGAAAUGGAAUCAUCUUCAUAGAUACAUCUACAUAUGACCCAGCAAAGGCUUUCAGGGGCACAAGUGAAACGAACUCAGUCCAUUCGCUGCUGGCGACCUCUUUCCUGCUCUCCAAAAUGGUGGACCUGAGCAUGAACCAGCCUGUGGGCUUCACCUGGGAGUCUCUGAGCAUCCCAGCUCAAUCUUGGCAUCCCAAAUCCCACACAAAUAAGAAGGAAAUAUUGCUUGACUUUCCAGACUCCGAUAGGAAACUCUUCCUUGCCAAAUUGCUGGAAGAAGGAAGCAGACUAGUCCUUAUGGUCCUGGCAGCAAUGGGAGACCCUUCAACCCUCCAACCCAGGCAUGUCCCAGAAGCUGCAGGACCAUUGGGCACUUCUGUUCCUCCUCCCCGUCCCAUGGUGCCACCAUGGGAGAGACAUGGGAACAAGAGUGCAAAGGAGGUGCAAAAGCAGUUGGAAUUGGCUGGUUCAAGCACCAGCCCUGAGCUCCUACCCAGAUGAUGGAGACCAAACCAAAAUCCCAGCUACCCAAGGGUGACAGUACCAGUGGAAGCUUCAGUCCACAGGGCACUUCAGUUAAGGGCCGUUAAACAGUAACAAGCACUUUAAAAUCCUUCAGAAUCAAGCUGCUACGGAUGCUGGCAUCACUGAGCAUCAGCAUGACAGAUAAGGCACUCUGGAGUUCCCAGGUUUUAUUAGUGGGAGGAUAGACUGUCAAACACAGUUUUGAAUCACUUUUGUCAGCUGCUGCCUUUGCUACCAGGCAAGGCAGGCGCUUUGCAGCCUGGAUAGGUUUUCUCUCCUCUGUAUUAGGUGUGGGAUGAAGGGAGGAGGAAGGCAAGCAUCACCUCUGGUCCCUGAGACACAGGGAAGAGACUUUGUGCUGCCACUGCCUUGAAACUCCAUCUUUUCCCCCCACAAGAGUUGACCCCAAUAUUGCAUUGCACAAGGUAAUGCAGUAGGUAAUGGUAUUAGAUAAUGCACAAAACCCCAAAGCGUAAAAACCCAAAAGCAGUCGAGUCUUGGGGCAAGACCUUGUUUCAGACGCUGCAGACAUCUCCCAGCCUUCCCCAUUCCACAUCUGGGCUCCCUGUUCCAUCUCCACCGAGCUUGAGUUGAAAGAGGAACAACCCAGCAUUGCCAUGCCUGAUGGGGAUGGAUUUCCUUUCAGCUCUGCUUGGAGAGGCCAGGAUUGGGAUCCUGCAAACCGGCUUCUGGCGCUCAGGACUUGCUGCUGGGAAAGUCAGACUCGGCCAAGGGAGAGAUUCAGCGAGUUUCUGAUUUCAGGAGGUCAAGCGCCUAACCGCAAGUCACAGCCCGGGAUGAAAAAUGGCAUUUUGGUGCUCUGGUCCUAAUUAACUUUUUGUUCUGAGAGAUGCAGUUCCAUCCCUUCAAAAUAAAAUUAAUCUUUUAAACAGAUUGCUUCAAAAGCCCUGGAAGACAUUUCAAAUCCCCUCUAAAUCUCUUACUAAUGAUUGGUAUCCUCCGAUACGGAUGGUAUCGCUUAUGAGGGGAAGGUUGUUGCUAUAAAUUUAUACAGGGGGUAAGAAACAGAGGCAGAACCCGCUGCUGUGAUUGAAGAUUUCCAACCCCCAAACCCAGUAAUGCUGCUAUUAACACCUCCUGUACAUACUUUGAACCUUCCUUAGGAUUUUUGUAUGCAGUGGCUGUAGAAAAGAUCAGUUUAUCUCCCACCUUUUCCCUGACCCAGCAAACAUAGCUCAGCACCA